CAAUGAGGCUUAUGGAAUUAAGAAAAAGAAACCCUUAUCAGGUGCUACAAGGAAACGAGCAAACCGUGCAUAUGUGUCUUAACUGCUAUUUUCUUGAAAAUCAUUAUGAUUCCGCAGAGCAGCUUGAUGCGUCGCAACGUAAACAAUGGUUGUAGUCGUGAAAUUCUAAUUACACAGGUAAUUAGAAUUUCUGAGCCACAAUCCGUUUUACAUAACGGAGCCAUUAAUAUGCGGGAGGUAAACUGUAGAUUGGUUGUCCAGCAAAUUUAUCAUUCUGUUUGUGAAUGAAAUGGUUUCUUAUGUUUCGUUAUUAAUACCAACAGCUAUUCAUUGCGUGGAUGGUCUAUAUAAAAAGGGUGAUGGGGAGCUGUAAAAUUUUCAUAUCCAUCAAACAAGGCUAGUUUUUUGCAGAUCCAGUACACAAGAACAGGACGAUUAUGUGAAUUUCAGCCAAAGCUUUUUACAUUUUAAGGACGAAUUACAGCAACACUUACUGAAUUGCUAACGUUUUUCAAAAAAGCCAUGGUAGCUCAAUAUCAAUCACACAAAUAUGCAGAUGGUAUCGAAAGUAAAAUUUUUACAAUGCUCAACAUUAAUUUGCAAAAUGAGACAUCAAGUUAAUAACGGUAGCUGGACAAAGUAUCAAGCCAAUUUUCAUUAAUUGUUAACACUUAGGCAAAAUAUACUAAGGAAUAGCUUCGAAUAUUUUAUUUAUGAUAUAAAAACUCUCAGGCAAGCUAGCUUAAAGUCUUAUAGAUCACAUUCGCUAAAUCACGGACUAGACCCAAAAUGGUAAACUUCUGAGAAAGCGCAAAAUAUUUUUUUAAUCUUGGGCGACAUUAGAUGCAAGUGUAUAUGUACACCAAUGUCGUAUGGCCAGGUCAUGCAGAGAAAAAAAGCGAGUCAGGCAGUUUAUAAAUAGACGGAUCAAGAAAUGCCGGCAAGAAUUGCACAACGUAGUCAGAUUAUAGAGGUCAAAAACAGGACCAUACGCUUUAUGAAUUGUGUUAUGUGACGAAACCAGGCGAAGUCAUUCGAGCGCUAUGAAUAGAUUGAUAGUCAAAUAGACAGCAUGUAUUUAUCCGAAUAACAUAGUUAAUGUGAACAGAUUUUGUAGAUAGCUGUAACAAACGAGCAUUUAUUAUUAUUAUUACAUUGUUAUUGGAGUUAUUGUCUGUUUGAAAAAAAUAGUGGAUGAUUCACGAGUUCUCCUUGCUUCUUAUGAUAAAUACUUGCUUCCCAUGACAAAUACUGAAACCAUCUGCUACAGAGCCUACGUUUCCAAGACUAAUUGGCUGUUACCCUAGAAUGAUACUCAUCAGCUCCUGAGUUACUUAACCUCAACCUGUGGUACUGAAGGCAGUAAAUAAGCUUACAUGAAUAUGUGUUCUUUCAGCAAAAGGGUACCCCAUCUCGUAAGAACAUUUUCAUAAAUAAUAUUUCGCAUUGUAAACGUUGCUUCGUAAGCACCUUUUCCUAAUCUGGCUACGUUAUAGAUUUUGAUUCUUAUAACAAAGUGCUGUUCAGCUAUACAGGAUCGAAUUUCGGGUGAUCCAAAUUGUAGCUUGUCCAAACAGGAAGCGUAACAGUGAGCACGCCGUUCUACAAAACAAUUUUUUCUUAAUCACUUCGCAUGUAUUUCUUGAUUUAGAUCUCAGAAACAUAGAAUACGGUGCGACUGCGUUUCGGCUUAUAGAAAUAAAAGCAAAUUUGGCGAAACUCUGACUAUUUUUAAAAAUAGUUAUAUUUUACGUUAUUACUAGAACUCUAUCAAGACAUCAAAAAUGAUGUUCAUUUAUGAACAAAGACAUAUCCAAGGUGUUGCUUUUUUUUAAUAAAUAAUUGAAAUGACCGAACGAUUUUCUAGAGUUUGGCGGGCGUACCGAAAAAAUUUUCGUGUCAUUUCGUGCUUUAGCACCAUAAUCUGAUGAUUGUGGAAGAGAAGCAUAGGAAAAUCAAAUGGUUGGGUUUACACACACACACACAACUGAUAACAAGUAUUCAAUACCAACCGCCUGUAUUCGAAAAGGAUUUAGCAGCAAUAAUAGAAUUUGGCUUCGCGAGACCGACGAGGCUAGCGCCAGGCAUAGCCAGAGAUAAGUCUUGUUGUAAGCUAUUCCUGAGGUCUCGACCCAUUUUUCCUUUGAAGAUUAUAUUCAUCUAUCAAUAUACAUACUAUUCGCUUUACAGGUUCAUCUUGAACACGUUGUGGAAGAACUAAUUAUUUUCUUUGACAGGGAGCCAUAUUAUGGUUACAUUCAAGCAUCAUGUGUACCUCGUAUGUGUGAGAUACAUGAUCACAUAUCUUCUAAUAGAAUAAUUAGGAUUAGGUUAAAUAUAGCGUGUGUUGUCCGCUCCUAUAGUAUGUGUCCUAAUUCAUACCACUUCUAGUAACAUUUUACUGCUACUAGCUUCAUCGGGUUGUCAAGUAAGCAUUGCACCAUUUCUAUAUGCUGCAGAGGGUUAAGUGGCUGAUCAUUUAUCAAAAACCUUCAAACAUAUCUCUAUAGUGAAGCCUGUGGAAAAUAUUUUCGAACGCGAAAGGGACGCCACUCAAUGCCAUUGUCGCCUGUCGAGGCAUCGUACUCGUACUAUGUCUGGGCUAAAUACAUUCGACUUACAAAUACCAUCGCAAAAUUAAAAGCAUUACUACUGUCAACAAACUUGGACUGAAAAAGAAACUGCAGUAUUCUGAAUCAAAUGUUUUAUCGCUUAGGUGUGAAUAAAAUAAAACAAGGGAAGUUUGCUAAUCGACAAACAAGUUAUAUGAGUAUCUGCAGAGUCGUAAUUGCAAAAAAAGAGGCAUGCGCCCAUUAUAGCAGACUCAGCUCCAAUAUAGUAAACGUCUGUUUUCACACAAUCUAAUCAAGACUUGCUAAAAGUGGCUUAGGGAGCAAACGUUCAAAUUAUAUUGAAGGGUGAUGUGGCUUGGUGGUAGCUGAGUUUGGGCGUCAACUAAUGUAUUCUGAUAAGCACAAAAAUCAAGUAUAUUAAGGCUUCUCGAUCGAGUUGAUGAAAUAUAUCCGUAUCUUUUGUAGUCCGUAAUAAUAUUCAAAUGACAGGUUAUCCGUAAAUAAUACAGCCGCAAGGCAAUAUUGCUUAAUUGCUGAACAAUUGCUUAAUUCACGAACCGCCGUAGAAGCAGUAAAUCAUGGAUUAAGGCAGCAGUCGACCUUGAGAUAAUGUUGAAGUGCCACAAGAAUUCACGUGCCCUAAAAUAUUUUUAUUUAAUAAAGACGUAUGCCGAUAUUAGCAAAAUCGUCACAGAGAAAUAUGCACGUUCAAUAUCACAGGUGAUAGUGACCAUCCGAUUCGGAAAUCCGUUUUCUCCACACUUUUACCACCAGACUGGUACUGGUGACAAUUGUGCUUAGCUAAGACAUCCCAUAUUCCAAAAGGCCGUGUGCAUGUCUUCCUUAGCAUCCCGUAUCGUGUUAGACACGGCCCAUCCUGAAAGAUAUGCUGCUUACUUAGGACAUUUGUGUAGGUCCCUGUAUGUAAGGGUUUCCUUAGAAAAAACCCGCAUAAAGUCGUAUGCCACUAUCUCUUCGCGCGAGAGCGUUAUCUCUCUGGAGGAAUCGACGAAGUCUGCGUGCUGGAGUUUUAAGUCUGGUAUCGCCAUUAGGCACUCAAUCGGUUGGCCCCGAAACGAAGUGUAUCAAUGCGCGAGUUAAAACCUAGACCUAUGUUAUCCAGUAAGUCACCGCGGGGAGUCUAUCAGCUGUCUCUUCUCUAGUAUCUGUAAGCGCCUAGACAGGACAUCCGAACCCGCACCGCCCUUUAACGGGGUUUACUUGAUCGAUUCCAGUUUUUGGUAUCGUCUAGAGAGUACUCAACGGAUCGUCUAGCUGAUAAUUAAAUGAUAGGGAGCAUUCGAACGAAGUAGUCAACGUCGAUUUCAUUGAUAUUAAGUGGAAACAGACAAGCUGGUCUACAGAACAAGCGGCUUGAAGGUAAGGGCAACGGUAGAAUUACAAGGUUCCCCUUAGUUCAUAUUUACGUGGCGUCAGUACUCUUGCAGUAUUUGGCCAACUGAUCAAAUCUUUGGUCCACGAUGAAUCCGUCUCCGCACUAGCGGAACAAAAUGAAACUGUGACGGUGAAACAGAUUAAUGUCACAGAUAUAUUCACAUUUUGCAGAGGAAAACACAGGACACCAUAUUCUUGGUUCUUGGAAAUAUAAAGUUAUUUAAAGUUAUUUAAAUAAAGAAACAUCUUUCAGCGGAAAUCCACCUACAAAAGAGCAGUUUUUUUUUUAAAGACUUGAUGACAACACGUUUAGGGUAAUCCUCAACUCGAUGCCAUAUUAAAGUCUAUUCUGCAUGCUUCUCUCAUUGAAUUCUGGAUGAUAUUACACAAACUGCGGUGACCGCUAGCGGUUUCCGCUGGGUUGUCCCCGAAUGUGGCCACAUCUGAAAAGCUACAUGCGAUUAUUGGCAGUGUAGAAUUGUUUUUGACGCUUGAGCUAAGGUGUCCAAGGCAUAAUGGCGGAAGAAAGCGGAUGGUGUGAGUACGCAAGCAUUGGACUUGAAUUUUUCAUGCACAUUUAUUUGCUCUUACGUUUAUCGGGGUACCUCCACUUCAAAUAGUUCGCCCGACCCAGGAAUAUAAAACAGAUUCGAAUAUGCGGUGAUAUCAAUGCUAGAUAUUCGCUUAUUUCAAUUACAGUGGAAAGCACAAGGCGUAUUAGUAAACAAUCUGCUAAAAAUAUUAAAGGACUUCUUAGAGGUAUUCUGUCUAAUAUGGAUACCAACCCGAUAGGCCACUACACAGUGGCAAGGCUAAUGCCGCUUAUUUUCAACGCAACGGGAUAAUAAUAAUAUGGUAAUAAUGAAAUAACGUCCAUGCAACCCAAUCUUGACACCCCAGCAUUAAUAAUAAUGAUCUGAUGAUGAAUAAUAAUGAUUAAUAGUAAUGAUAAUAAUGAUGACAGUGGCGAACAUGAUUAAGACGCAUCUUAUUAAAUUCAUUGCUAUGAUAAACAUAAACGUGUAUUCCGGCAACCGCUAGUUCGAAUCUCAGCUUUGACAAAUGGUGACAACGAAUUAUUAAAAUAAAAUUGACUAAGAAUGGUAAUGACUACAAGUACUGCUAAUAUGGUUGCUUUGUCGCCUCCUAGGUAUAUUAGAAAAAUCCUCAAUAACUUCAGAACAUAGUCAAACAAGAGGAUUGAGUUAGUUUAAAAGAUUUAAUAUUAAAAAUAAUAAAAAUUAUCAAUUUCCUCAAUCGCCGAGAAAUAAAAUUAGAUAAGAUUUUAUUUUUGUUUCUUUGUGUUUAUUUCAUUGACCCUUAACCAACUCUAUUGAUGUGGAUUUAUUUUUGAAGAAUCUAGGUUUUCAAGAAUACUUGUAACUGGUGGAAUGAAAAGAUACAGUUAGCAAAAUUUAAUGUUAACUUCUUUGCUUCAAUUAUACAUUUGAUUUUAAUUAGGUAAGUAUUUUAAACUUCAUACAUAUUCAAAUGACAAACUGUAUGGUAAACAUUUAAAUAAUAACCGGUGAACUUUAUAUUAUACCCUUAUUCUUUUCUUUUUAUUAUUUACUAAUAUAUUGCUAUAUUUACUGCGAAAUAUUAUUUUAGGGUGCAAUUGGUAUGGACGGUCCUAAAGGGGAGGCAGGCCAAAAAGGAGAAAAAGGCGAUGGAGCAGGGUUUAGUUUCACGGGCGGACAAGGAAACGCCCUGAGUAGCUCUAGCAAUGCACUUCCACCAGGUGUUGGUUCCAUCACUCCCCAAGAUAUCAUCAUGAUCAAGGUAAUACAUACACCAAAUUAGGCAAAUCGUCAGAAUAUAUGAUAUAAGCUGAGUAAAAUCAAGAGAAACCCUUGUAUUGUUUUUGAGAUAUUGGUUCAGGGGCACACGUACCCUGUACUAAAUUGUGCAGGGUAAUAAGUUAAAAAAAAAAAAGAGGUGUGCCAACACCUACAGUUCAGACGUUUACCUUGUUCCGAAGAACUAUAGCACCCCCAGCAAGUAUUGUUACAUUGUGUACGCUGUCUAAGAGACGUCUUCAUACGGGUUGGAAUUUUUUUGUUUUCAGGUUGUUCACAUCCGGUCCUAAACCUUUAAAAGCCUUACACGUUGCGCCUUUCUUGAUAGGUUUACAAUUACAAUCCUGUCUAAAAGUCAUCCAGCAUGGUCUUCCGUUUAUGUUCAGAAUUUUAAGUCAUUUGCCCACCGGCUGUUGUCGCCGACCGGCUGUUGUAAUCGGGUCAACGACUAAUUAAAAAUUUCAAAGCCAAGCUUUCGAGUCUCUUGCCAUAAUUGCAACCUAUAUAGUUUUUAAAUAUAAUGUGUGGAUGACAUAAGAAACAGAUCCCGAGCGCCCGAUUCUGGUCAGUAUUAUUAGAUUUCUCGCCAUGCGAAAAUUUCGCUCUUUCAUGACAGGAGGUUAUUACUGCCUCAAACACAACUCAAUUUCAGUCAGUCGACAAUGUGGAAAUUACCAAGCUUCAGUUCAAGACCAGGUCAUGUUUUGUAGACUUUUUGCGAUAACUGAUUCCAGGUUAUCCCUUCUACGACAGAUCUCAACUGCUGUUUCAGCAUUGCUUCACUGUAAGGGGCUCAAUAAUAGUAACUUGGGGGGGACCAAGCAGAAAAAGAAUUUGUCAUGUUCAUCACCUUUCCUAUUCAUCAAACCUUCACUGAAAGUUCACAAUGUGUCGGGGUUCGUCCCUAGAGUAUUUCUGUGUCUCUUCAGGUAGUAGGGAAACACGAUAUCGCACUACCAUAAGCAAACGGUAAGAAGCGUCUACAAUAGUUAUGCUAGCGAAUACUGACUCUUCAUGUUCCCAAAUCAUAGCGAGAAAAUAUUUAUAUAUUUUGCAUAAAAAUGUUAUCCGAGUAAAAUUUUUACAAACAUCUUCGAAUGACAUAAAUCAUUUUGAUCAUGUUGGGCAUCAACAAUGUGGCGUAUAAAUGUAUCGACGUGAGUGUAGAGGACAGGAUAAACGCUUUAAAAAACACAUAGAGCACCUAUCUUCAGUAACUGAAGAGCUUCAAUUUUUAUGAGAGAUGAGAUUUCUCUACAUUAAUACCUUGGAUCCCAUCACACAUAGUAUGGAAACGAUUAUUCAAAAACCUUACGUGUAGAAUUCAAAAGUUGCUCAGUGCUUCGUCACAGAAUCAUUUAGGAGUACUGGUUUAUCGAAUAAGUUACAAUUUUCCAGUAGAUGAACAAUCAGUUUUUUUUCAAAAGAGCGUACACAAAUUUAAUGAAUGUAUGCUAUGAUGAGUGUAUGUACAGAUUUAAUUGUUCUUGCAACUCCACAGGUACUCCAAUCAAGCAGUCCAGCGUUUAACUUUUCGAAUUAAAUCUGUAAAUAGCAUAUUUAUAUUCAUAAUGCCGAUUUAUAUUGACAAGCAGUAGCAAAACAGGUGUUGUACUGAGAAGUCACACCGACUAAAAAAUUUAUUUUUUUGGGAAAAAAUAUUAAUGAUAAUUUUUUUCCGAAAAAAUAUGUAGUGCAAAAAGGGACUGUACAAUAUUUUUAAGGCGAAAAUUUAAGAAGUUAACAAGGCUAGAGUUAUCGAUUCCCUCGCGAGGGCGUGUUACUUCGAGAUUAGUGGAUAAUUUAGAGCUCAUUGCUUCCAAUCGAUACUUAUCGUUAUUAUUGCAGGGUUCACAAGGAGAAACUGGGCCGCCAGGACCGCCCGGUCCACCGGGACCUCCAGGACUACCUGGAUUCGACGGAGGCACCGGACCACCUGGACCUACUGUACGUAAAUUGGAAAAAGAGAUGCAACUAUAUGUUUUUUCCAGUUAUUAAACCUUGAUUAAUAUACAUUGUGGUACGUACGACCUAUCUGAGGCAGGUUUUAAGAUCCCACAAAACAGAAUGCUUGCCCAAUGAGUCCUGACUUCCCAUAAUUUUUUCUAUUCCUAGGGACCGCCAGGAGAGCCAGGACCACCUGGACCAUCUGGAGACCGAGUAAGUAUACUGAGUACUUUAUUUUACCUAACUAGUUGUGUUAGCCUAAUUCACAGUUUAUUAGGAAGCUUACACCAGGCGUUGUUUUACGGAGUCUUUAAUUAUAUCCGUUUAAAGUUAUUAUAUAAUUUUAAAGGUUACGCGAGUUUAUGCUACCAUACCUAAUAUAUUAUAUUAAUAUAUAUACCUAAUAUUCCCCGCGUGGCAGGCGAGUAUUCUAUUUUACACAUUUUAACACAUUACUUAGGGCUAUAUUUGCAAAAUAUUGGGCCUCCCUAACACUAAAGAAUAGUUACUUUCGGUUCCAAUAAACAACCGUAGAUCUGCACGAUAUAUUGCAAUACUUAUAUAUUUAUCUUCUAUAAUUAAUUUCGAUAAUUCUAAUAUACACGUUCAUAAACGAACUGCACAGUCUACUGCAUACGCAAUUACCUACUUAAGUUCAAAAUCUACAAGAAGUUUUCGAUUCAGUCGUUCGAGGCACGGGCUACCGAUAUUGUGAAUCAUUCUUUGGCUUGGAACCUAGCUUCCUGUGUAUAUGGAUAGAGUCAUUUCAAAUGUAUGAUAUUACUCCCUUUAUGACAAAAACACCGUUCGUUUUAUAUUAUAUAAUUGACUUAUACAAACAUGUAAUAUCUGUGGGAACUAUUUAUGCCAAACCGGCAAAUAACCAACAUCCUCUAUACAAACUGCAGAAAAAUUUUUUUCAGGCAGCUCUUAGAGAAAACUCUUCUCAUCCCAUUUCCGUGCUCGAAUCUCAAAACACAAAAAAAAACACCUUGAGUAGAAAACCAUUCAGAAUCGUUUUUUGUAAUUUUAACAAAGGGUAUGACCAUUGCUGAAAAACCACCCUUCCCGAUUUUGGUUUUGUCGUCCUCAAUAAUCAAUGAUACCAACAAAAACAGCAUUCUGGAAGUAGAAUCUGCGGUCAGCAAAGCUAUAAUGCAUUUUCCAGAGUCACGUUAAAUCCUUUAUCCCUACGUUAUAUUCGUAACUUGAUCUCGAAGAACAGAAAAUUAGAAACAAACUUCAAUUUGAAUGCAGUAGAUAUUGAGGGUACAUAACCAAGGAAGAGAUGAUAUAAUAGAUAAUAUAUACUUGCUGAGAGCCAGGAAGUUGAAGGGGAAGUUUGCCAGAUGCAAUUGUAAAGCAUCAUUAGGCUGCGUUCAAGCCCCUGGUACAACUCUAUUACCUUAUAGUAGUGUUAAAUAAAAAUCUAGGCUGGUUUGAAUGAAGCUUAAAAGCAGGCACAACAUUGAUAGGCAACCAUUUCGAAGGCCAAGUUUUACCGUUAAUUUCGUCCGCUGAUGGAGUUUGGAUGGAGAUGCAUCAUUCCACUUUAUCUACGUAUACAUAAAGCAUUAAAUUGGCGGCCCACUGAAAAGCUCUUGGUACAACUUUACUGUUUUUUUUUCAAAACUAAAACGCAAAUACCAAUUCUGGGUACGUUACCAAAACAAAACAAGAAAGUUAAAAAGACACACUUACUAUCUAAAAUAAACAACGCACUGGACAGCUUAACUGCAAUCUUGCAUACAAGUGUUUCCAAUGCGUUUUGAAAAGAAAAAUUAUCAAAAAAAUAUAAUUUAUUGCGCCCGCAGAACUAUUUAUAAACAAUUGUAUUUGCAUAGUUCCUUUGCAACACGCCCCUAGCAUCUAAGAGAAUGAUGGACAGUAGUGAACCCAGUGACUCUUCUGUUUGGCAAUAUUUCCGCAUACAGUGAGAAACUAUUAAAACAUAACCAUCAGCUACAGGACGUACUAACGUGACUGCAUAGAGCUGUCCUAGUACUGAACGUAACAGAAUGUUAUUUUGGAACCACCAGCUACACGUCUUGAACAGUUAAGUCUUUAAAAUUUCAUACUUAGUGCGAUGCUCUGCUUUUCGGUCACUUAAAUAGCUAACGAUAAUACGUUGGACGUAUGAAGAUAUCCUCUUUCUUUCCGAUAUGUACAUAAUCACUAAUUGAGUUAAAGACAUUUGUAACGCCCAGAAGAACGGCCAAACAGAGAUUCUUGGUUUUUGGCGUCUUCUUUCAUUUCCUUUAGUCGAAACCCAAUACUCAUUACUAGUGAAGUAAGUCGACCAUUUUUUCUAAAAUCCGAAGUAGUUUUCUAGAAGCAACCCUUUGUUUUCUAUUUUGCUGGUUACUUACAUCACGGUAAGGGUUGAUCCCAGUCGUCCAAUUAGCUUUGGUAUGGAUGCCAACUUAGCCUCUUUCUAUUUUUUCGGGAACUGAUUUAGUCACAGAAUUCUAGAUAUGUUUAGCCUGCGAAUAACGCUACCCAUCAUAGUGGACAAAUGCACGACCCUCAGCUCACACUGGCUGACUUUGCAUAUGGUCCGGUUUCCGCUAUAAAUGGUCGCUUUCAUUUGACCCCUGCACUUUUUGCAAGAGUUGUGAAGCCGGCAGCGAGGUUGCACUUAUAAACCCAAUGUGAUACCAAUUGUGGUGACGACGCACUAUUAGCGGUACCAAUUUUUAUUUAUCCGCACGACACAUCGUUCUAGCAUUAUACAUAAUAGUAGUAAGCCUUAUAAAGUUUAUAAAUUCAGCCGUCACCUGGAUCAUGACGCCCUUGCGAGCCGCGCAUGAAAUAACAAAACCCAUAAUCGCAAGCCUGGUUAUAAUGAUUGCGUUUGUUAAGCACCUCUUUUCCGUCGGUCAUUGUGUAGGCUAGAAGAAACUGCAAUUCAAAUUGUUUCGAGUUCUACAACUUUAGUCAGAAGAACGGGGAUUAAUUUUUGGUAUGUUCUAUUCUUUCAAAGAAUAUCCAAAUAAUAGUUUUAAAUACGAACCAAAUACCAUUAAGACAUGGCUAUGAAGGAGAACCAAGUGUUAAGUGUCAUUGACGGAGUUGUAGCCCCUGCUUUUCCAUCAAACUGGACAGUCUAGCUUUGUACAUUCUGCUCUCUUUCCUUAUUAAUCCUGCAAGUCGUGCCUUUUUUAUUCUGUAUUUCUCUAAAAAUCUUUUCUCACAAAAAUCUUCCUCAUUUUUCAUAGCUUCCUAAAUCCGCAUAUAAACUGUGCCACUUAUCGUGGUUCCGCGGUAAUUGUUUUCCUCGCUUUGUCAUUGAUUUUACUGUUUAGAGCUGGGUGUAAAACCGCACAAAUGGCUAAUUUAUAUAUAGGGAUCAUACUCCUACGUAGAUGAAAUCCUAAGUAGAUGAAAUUGAGAAAAUGAAGGCGAUCAGUGGCGUGAGUACAAAACAACUCGGGUUACGCUAUAUCUGAUUCUUGUCUUUUUUAAAAAACGAAAGGUUUGCGUUUUGGUGCCUUUUCGUAAAUUUAAUCUUUUUCUCUUUUUUUUAAAAGUCAUUUAAUACGUGCUAGAAGAUUAAACGAUCAUGCGCGGUGUUCGGUAAACAUAUAUUUGAUAAAUGUCUACAAAGGUCUUCACUAAUCUUGAGAGUAAGAGUAUAGAUUAGUCAGUGCGAAAUGCACAUAUAUAAAAGAAUUUUCAAGUACAAAGAUACCCUGCUAACGCUUUUUAAAUAUUAGCCAUCUUGAAUUAAUAAUAAUAAUACAAUAAUAAUUAUAUUGGAAAAUUUGGUAGCUCGAAAAUACACAGAUUCAUAUAUGCCCUGUAACAUAUAUAUAUAUAUAUAUAUAUAUAAAAGGCCCCGUGCGUUUGUUUUCGCUUCUUUCUGGACCAACCUACUAGAUCUAUGCAUUUACGCUCAAAUAUUCACUCAAUGAGUAUUUUAAUCAAACGUUGUAAAUCUCCACCAUUAAAAUUAAUGGUAGCGAUUUCACAAAUACAUCUAGAUAUCACAUUCACUUGAGUUAAUUUUCAGGGCCCUCUUGGAGACACGGGACUGCCUGGACCCAAAGUGAGUAAAAAUGAAAAUCAAUACAUUCAUGAUUAGCUAUGAUCGGAUUUUUUUAAAUAUAUUCAGUAUUAGAAGGGUGAGCUUAUAAAUAAAUUGAUACUAUCGCCAUUAAUAUUGCUAGAUCAAUUAGAAAAUAGUUUUAGAAGAAAGCUUGAAACUCUGCAGUAUAAAUAUAUUACUAUCUAUGUGUUUAUGUUAGCUCAAGUCUGUUAUUAUAAUGAUGUUUAACGCUUAUAACAGCUACUCUGUGUUCUGCUAGCUAAACAGUGGUAUCGAAACUCGCAUGUAGCUAUACAAUACGCGGGUACUGUGUAGAGAUUGUUGUGCCUUUUUCCUGCUCUAGCUAACAUACGGUGUAAGGACCUGUGACGGAAAAUCUUUUUGCGCCCUUGUCUCUUUCCCAGACAACAUAUUUGGUUGACAGAGAUACCCGUUAAUAUAUAUAAUAAUAAUGGAAAUAGUAGAUUCGAUUGGUAAAUGUUUAUACUCAUAACAUUAUAUAAUAUUGUAAUAAGGAUAACGGUAGAUAAAAUUGUUUAACAACAGUUCUGCUAGACUUUGUGAUCCGUUUCAGAUUUGAACAGAUUUGAAGAAUUAAUUAAAACCUGUUUGUUAAGAGAUUUCGUCCAAAUGCUUGUGCGGCAUUUGUUUGUCAUCUGAUUCAAAAUAUAUUGGCUUUCCACCAAAGUCUUCUGUUUGUUCACUAUUUUUUCAUAUUAUGUCAUACUGCAAUUUCUUGGGCAACACACUUUUUAAUCUUACAAAAGAAUACUUUUCACACUAUAUCUGGAAUACCUUGAAUAUCCUCAGUUAAUCUCCGAACUGCGAAAUUAAAUUUACAAGAUGGGAGUUCCUGACCUACCCUUCUAGGUCUAGAGCUAACCAAGUACUACCAUGCCCUGAUUAAAUAUAUCAACUACGAAGUUGUUAUCAGUUAUUAUCAGUUACUCCUUAUAUAGAAUUCUCUUUCUUUCUUAAAAUAUUUUCGUAAGAAGUAUGACAUAGAUGUGGCCAACAAUCUCUAUCUGGUUACCUAACAAUGUGUCUGUUUUGCCUUUUUCUAUUGUCGAAGCCAAGAAUACGUUGCAAUAAAUGUAUAUGAAAUCUACGGGUGCACUAUACAUAUAGUUGUAUACGCAGCGCCCAAGUGUAUUCAUGAACGCACGUAAAAGUUAGAUGAAGCUGUUUUCCAAUCUUAAAUUGUAUCCGACUACAAGCAUAUGUUAAGAUACAGUUUAUUACCUUGGGAGACAAAGGUGAUAAGGGUGAUAGAGGACUGACGACAACGCUAGACGGGAACACUUUUCCGACAGGAUUUAUCGAAGGUCCCGCCGGACCGCCGGGACCGCCGGGUCCUGCUGGUCCCCCGGGGCGGAAGGUAUAUUUAUAUUUUAUACAUAAUGGGCUGAAAAUUCCAAUGCGAUUCGUUAUAAUUAGUAUUGCCUUAUUCCUUAAGGCUUGUGCGUUCUUAAAUCAAACACCUGCUCAAUUGCGAUUGUACAAUAAUAAUGAUAGUUAUUAUAAUAAUUCAGUUUAUUCGUAUAUUUUCAUGUAUAAGACCACUGUGUUUUUUUGUUUUUUUUUUGAAAUUGGUAUGACAUACAUGCCUAACGGUAAAUAAAACGGUGUCGUGUUCAAAAGAAAAUCCAAUAUUUUCUGUAAAUAAUAGGGUUCAUUACCAUUGAGAUAUUGUAAUACAGCAUGCCGGUAUUAGUGUAAUAACCGUUUUACCCCUCAGUCGACAUUUUUUAGUCUGUGCAUUUUUAUGCAGGUUCGCGGCUCCUAGAAAAUGUAAAGCAAUCUAAUUUGACAAACAACGAAGCUUUUAAUCAGUUUUAAUUCGCGUGACGACAUUAUGUUUCGUUCAACUAAUACCUUUCCCGAUAUUUCUCGACCAUGAAGUGUCUUUGCCAAAUUUGAAAAAAAUCGAUGUGACCGAAUAUGAUGCAUCCAUCUUAUUCACUUUCAAUACGCUAGGCAUUGCAUUAAGCUACCCUUUAUAAAAUAAUGAGUUUCAGCGUAGUCAACUUUUUCCGUAUUUUAGGGUGAUCAAGGUGUGCAAGGUCCACCUGGUUUUGACGGGCUCAAAGGCGACAAAGGUGAACGAGGCAUGCGAGGAAAAAGAGGACCACCCGGGCUCGACGGAAUGAAGAGGCGGAAACUCGUCCAGUGUGGAAAGAAGUCUUCCUCAAGGGCUUAGUUCAUACAAGGUUAAAGCCAAAAUGUGUCUAAGCACAGCUUUGCCGUACCCGCUGAUAUCUUAGGUACAUGGAAGGUCCAUACAGCAUCUAAGGUCCGUAACGCCAGCGGCCCGCUACGACAAGUCUCGACAGUGCAGACAGCCGGGCUGCCUACAACUGCACAGAGCUUCUGUCAGCAUCGUAAGAAUGUGAAGAAAAAUAACCUCUGCUUGAGACCUUCAAAAAAGAUCCUAAGAUAUCUUCAUAUCUACGAUGGAAUUGCCGCUAUUACUGAAGGUCGAACACAUCUUGAACUAUGUCCUGGUCGUGCUGAAAACACAGGUUACGCCCAGGAACACUUGCACCAAACCUCGUUGAAAAUCAGUUUCAAAUUGUCCUGCUCAAAAGAAACCGGACCUUGUCUAUCCAAACAGCAAAGUCGUACUGUUUUACAAUCAUAGAGUUAAAAACCGUACCGCGUGCCUUGUGGAACACAAUGUUAUUAUUUGCGCAUUUCAAGGAUUUUUAUGGCGGUGUAUAUGCCACCAAGUAACAAAUAGUGCUGCUAAAAAACCGUGAAGCUCCUAUUUUUUGAAGGCCUACAGGUCCUGGUUGACUUUUCCUGUCAUUGGCAGGAAAUUUAUAAUUAUAUUAUAAUUAACGCAGACGAAGAUAAAAUACGUCAGAGAUAAUCGUUUAUUCUACUAGGGAGAACAACUCCAGGAACACAUUUUUAUUGGAUUAGACCUCAAGGUGGUCAUGGCAUCAUUGCUGUGAAGAAAAUCGUUACUCCGUGAAAAAAACUACAGUGAAACUCCUAAAACGGAUUAAUGACUUAUGAGGUUUUUUCAGUGCCAUGCUUGACUGAUGGCAAGGCUUGUGCGCAUCGGCAUCCUGUACUCUUCAGUUUAUGCAGCCCGUCGAAAAAUGUCGGCUCGUUUAAAAUCACCAUCUUGCACGCCGUGCCAACAAUUACUUUUGCUGUACUCGCAGCGCCAGCUGACAAACAACUGGCGGGCGUGAACUACCAAGUAAAGAAUUCUAUGCCCUCCAAAAGAUUUAGGUACUUGGUAACCCGUAACUAAUAAAUGUGGAAUAAACACAA